ACGGGGGGUGCAAGCGUUGUUCGGAAUUAUUGGGCGUAAAGAGCGUGUAGGCGGCUUGGUAAGUCAGAUGUGAAAUCCCUGGGCUUAACCCAGGAAGUGCAUUUGAAACUGCCAGGCUUGAGUAGGGGAGAGGGAAGUGGAAUUCCUGGUGUAGAGGUGAAAUUCGUAGAUAUCAGGAGGAACACCGGCGGCGAAGGCGACUUCCUGGCCCUAUACUGACGCUGAGACGCGAGAGCGUGGGUAGCAAACAGGAUUAGAUACCCUGGUAGUCCACGCCGUAAACGAUGUUCACUAGGUGUUGGGGGUAUUGACCCCCUCAGUGCCGGAGCUAACGCAUUAAGUGAACCGCCUGGGGAGUACGGUCGCAAGACUA
rnacentral:rRNA from 1 species